UACGGGGGGAGCAAGCGUUGUUCGGAUUUACUGGGCGUAAAGGGCGCGUAGGCGGCGCCGCAAGUCGACUGUGAAAUCUCCGGGCUUAACCCGGAAAGGUCAGCCGAUACUGCGGGGCUAGAGUGCAGAAGGGGCAACUGGAAUUCCGGGUGUAGCGGUGGAAUGCGUAGAGAUCCGGAAGAACACCGGUGGCGAAGGCGGUCUGCUGGGCAGUUGCUGACACUGAGGCGCGACAGCGUGGGGAGCAAACAGG
rnacentral:rRNA from 1 species